AGUUUUCAGAGAUACGCCAACUCCGUUGCUCGUACCGUGACAUAGGUAGUCUUUUUGUUUCAGCUUGGUGUUCAGUUUGCUGAUGUUUGCACGCUUAGUGGACUUGACAGAAUCGGCAGGGCGAUUGCGAGUUCAAGGAAAACGCACGGAUAUCCCUACGUGUGUAUAUAAACGCGUGCCCGUGGCGAAUACGUGCAUACACGCAGGCUACCAACAGUACGACUUGCAUGCUUCAUCGAGCCUCAAAGGCUGGCGCACGGAUUUAUGGCGGUAGAUAAAGCAGAAUUUAUUGACACCGUACUUUUUUCACAAUCGACCCAUUCUGCAUCACCGUAACCAUGUAGACGAAAAAUUUGGCAACAAUUUAACAAUUGAAAAGAUCAUGCGAACAUUAAACUCUUGAGCCUGCUGAAGGCAGUGAAUGAAUGGUUUACUGAUUAGAAUCAGAGAAGGCUCAUUGCUCUCGAGAGAGACUGGAGAAGACUGCAGCCAGCAGAUGAGUUGUCAGAAUGUGUGCUCUGAGCGGAUGUUCAGCGCGAAAUUCUCAUUUUUACUGUGGCAUUGAAUUGCAACAAAAAUCAUAAUAUCAAAUAAUAAAAUAAACAAUAUAUACAUACAC